rnacentral:piRNA from 1 species
AUGAUGUGCGGAUUCUCGAAGUGCC